CGGCUUCAAACGGUCCGGCGGGAGCGAUGGCGGCGGAGGCUGCGGCCGGAGGAGUGUCAAGACACGGGUUUUCCUGUUUGCAAGUCCCAGAUCCUGGUGAACAUCACCUAGGUUGGUUAACCUAGCAGCUGUGCACAGAAGCUGUCUCCAAGAACCCACAGAAACCUCGGGAAUGUUUGCACCCUGCAGUGUCCCUUUUCUGUGACAGUCUGAGUGAUUUAAGGCCCCCAGGGUGACACGGGGUCAUUAAAUUCAUCUUAGUCCAGUGGCUUCCAUAAGACUGUCUGCUUCUUCA